rnacentral:rRNA from 1 species
AGUGAACGCUGGCGGUAGGCCUAACACAUGCAAGUCGAACGGCAGCACAGUAAGAGCUUGCUCUUACGGGUGGCGAGUGGCGGACGGGUGAGGAAUACAUCGGAAUCUACUUUUUCGUGGGGGAUAACGUAGGGAAACUUACGCUAAUACCGCAUACGACCUACGGGUGAAAGCAGGGGAUCUUCGGACCUUGCGCGAUUGAAUGAGCCGAUGUCGGAUUAGCUAGUUGGCGGGGUAAAGGCCCACCAAGGCGACGAUCCGUAGCUGGUCUGAGAGGAUGAUCAGCCGCACUGGAACUGAGACACGGUCCAGACUCCUACGGGAGGCAGCAGUGGGGAAUAUUGGACAAUGGGCGCAAGCCUGAUCCAGCCAUACCGCGUGGGUGAAGAAGGCCUUCGGGUUGUAAAGCCCUUUUGUUGGGAAAGAAAGCAGCAGGUUAAUACCCCGCUGUUCUGACGGUACCCAAAGAAUAAGCACCGGCUAACUUCGUG